AAGAGUCUUUUUGCUCAAUCACAAAAAAUUAUCAUCCUGUUCUCUUAAUCUUUUCUAGAAUAAUCAGAUAUUUUGUUCCAACAAGGCAACAACAGAGAGAUAUGAAUGUCUUCUCUAGAUUCUCAAGGAUUGCUCUUUGAGUUCUCAUCUUCCGGUACUAGCCCUUUUGUUUUCCAUCUUCUCAUUUUCCAUGAAUAAACCCAAUUAUUUUAUCUGUAGUCUAAUCCUUGGCUGUUCUUGUUUUUGUCCUGCAACCAGUUGGCCCUUUUCUCUGGUUGCUUCACCAGUUCUUCUUUUUCUGGUGCCCUGGGAAAAUUCUUACAAUCCCAACUUUGAAGCUCUAACUCAAUUAGGAACACCAACAAUUACAAAAAAAAAUAUAUAGAUAAGAUGAAAGCGUCCUAUAGCCUCACGGUAGACAUCUACUUUAUGUUGAGACAGAUAGAGCUUGUGUUUUAUCUUCGUAUUCACAUCCCAGAAUUAAGUUGCCAAAAUGAGGUGGCACAGUUGACUGAAGGACGUGAGAAAUGUCUCAUAGGAAGUUCUAGCCUCCAAGACACGGGUCUUUGGGCUUUCUGCCCAGAAAGAGAGUUGCUCGACACAGGGGAAAGGGUAUGCUAUAUUCUUUUCGGUACUACAUAUAAUGGUUGGAAUCUUGAUCCACUGUUCUAUUUUCAUUAAAUUGAUCAGUUACCAGAAGGUAGUAGUUGGGAUAUGAUGGUCUAAAAUGUCCAGAAGCAAGAUUCUUAUCACGGAAGUGUGUUUAGGUGUCUCUCCCCUCUUUUUGGUAGAUAAGCAAAAUAAAUUAAUGCACCCAAUCCCAGGAUAGCUCAGUGAAAAAAAGGAGUUAUUUCUCUGAUUUUCAUCUGUUUUCAUUUGCUUUCUUCUUUUUCAGUGAAGGAACCCUCUACUACGAACUGGUGCAAGUCCAAGAAGUAGGCCUUUAUGAAGUACUCCAAGAAAUAUGAGACUGAUGAAGGUAAAAAAGAUAUCCAGGCACAGUGGGAGAAACUGAAGAAGUAUGCUUAUGUCACCCGUGUGUUACCUUACACUCAGUGAAUAUGUUGAUCUUAUAGGGAUCGAGAACGUGAACAAGUCAGCAAGAUAUCACCUACAGGACAUUUAGGUUGGACCCGUGCUGAAUAUUUUGGUUGAAGGAUAGCGUUGAGUACUACUGGUCUAUGCCAAAGUGCAGAGAAAAUCUAAUAGCACAUUCUAUGAUAUGUGGUUCAUAUAUGACUAUAUAAUUUUAGAUUCAUGGGUGGUCUUAUGCACUUACUGUAACAAAAAAAUUACCCAAUUAUGCACAUAUUGUACAUAGACUAUUGGUUAUUAGUAUCUGUUUAAACUUCAGUACGACUUCGUGUUUGGCCGUAUUUAUCUUGAAACACGUAAGACUGGAACAAUACGAUCAAUAUUAUGCGAAGG